GAGAGAGGCUCGCCAGCAGUAAGAGCUGCUAACUCUUAUGACCUUGGUUAGACCCCAAGGCUCACUCG
rnacentral:tRNA from 1 species